GACGAACGCUGGCGGCGUGCUUAACACAUGCAAGUCGAACGGAAAGGCCCUGCUUUUGUGGGGUGCUCGAGUGGCGAACGGGUGAGUAACACGUGAGUAACCUGCCCUUGACUUUGGGAUAACUUCAGGAAACUGGGGCUAAUACCGGAUAGGAGCUCCUGCUGCAUGGUGGGGGUUGGAAAGUUUCGGCGGUUGGGGAUGGACUCGCGGCUUAUCAGCUUGUUGGUGGGGUAGUGGCUUACCAAGGCUUUGACGGGUAGCCGGCCUGAGAGGGUGACCGGCCACAUUGGGACUGAGGUACGGCCCAGACUCCUUCGGGAGGCAGCAGUGGGGAAUAUUGCACCAUGGGCGGAAGCCUGAUGCAGCAACGCCGCGUGCCGGAUGACGGCCUUCGGGUUGUAAACCGCUUUCGCCUGUGACGAAGCGUGAGUGACGGUAAUGGGUAAAGAAGCACCGGCUAACUACGUG
rnacentral:rRNA from 1 species